AUUGAACGCUGGCGGCAUGCCUUACACAUGCAAGUCGAACGGCAGCACGGGUGCUUGCACCUGGUGGCGAGUGGCGAACGGGUGAGUAAUACAUCGGAACGUACCUUAUCGCGGGGGAUAACGCAGCGAAAGCUGUGCUAAUACCGCAUACGCCCUGAGGGGGAAAGCGGGGGAUCGCAAGACCUCGCGCGAUUAGAGCGGCCGAUGCCUGAUUAGCUUGUUGGUGGGGUAAAAGCCCACCAAGGCGACGAUCAGUAGCUGGUCUGAGAGGACGAUCAGCCACACUGGGACUGAGACACGGCCCAGACUCCUACGGGAGGCAGCAGUGGGGAAUUUUGGACAAUGGGGGCAACCCUGAUCCAGCAAUGCCGCGUGAGUGAAGAAGGCCUUCGGGUUGUAAAGCUCUUUUGUCAGGGAAGAAACACCGGCUCUAACACAGUCCGGGAAUGACGGUACCUGAAGAAUAAGCAUCGGCUAACUCCGUGCCAGCCGCCGCGGUAA
rnacentral:rRNA from 1 species